GGCUACCGCUAUUGGAGUUCGAUUAAGCCAUGCGAGUCGCGAGUCUUAGGGACUCGGCGUACCGCUCAGUAACACGUGGGUAACCUGCCCUAUGCUGGGGGAUAACCUCGGGAAACUGAGAAUAAUACCCCAUAGUUCACCACGCCUGGAACGGUGGGUGGACCAAAGCUCCGGCGGCAUAGGAUGGGCCUGCGGCGUAUCAGGUUGUAGGGGGUGUAAUGUACCCUCUAGCCCUCUACGCGUACGGGUGUUGAGAGACAUCGCCCGGAGAUGGAUUCUGAGACACGAAUCCAGACCCUACGGGGUGCAGCAGGCGCGAAAACUUGGCAAUGCGAGAAAUCGUGACCAGGGAACUCCAAGUGCAUCGGGUAAGACCGAUGCUUUUCUUGACUCUUCAAAGGUCUUGGAAUAAGGGGUGGGUAAGGACGGUGCCAGCCGCCGCGGUAAUACCGGCGCCCCAAGUGGUAGUCGCUUUUAUUGGGCCUGAAACGUCCGUAGCCGGUCUGGUACAUUCGUGGGUAAAUCAACCAGCUCAACUGGUUGAAUUCUGCGAGCACGGCCAGACUUGGGACCGGGAGAGGUGUGGGGUACUCUCAGGGUAGGGGUAAAAUCCUGUCAUCCUGAGGGGACCACCUGUUGCGAAGGCGCCACACUAGAACGGAUCCGACGGUCAGGGACGAAGCCUAGGGGCACGAACCGGAUUAGAUACCCGGGUAGUCCUAGGUGUAAACGCUGUGGACUUGAUGUUGGGGGCGCUCCGAGCGCACUCAGUGUCGAAGCGAAGGUGAUAAGUCCACUGCCUGGGGAGUACGGUCGCAAGGCUGAAACUUAAAGGAAUUGGCGGGGGAGCACCGCAACCUGAGGAUUGUGCGGUUU
rnacentral:rRNA from 1 species